rnacentral:tRNA from 1 species
GGCAAUAGCUCAGUGGGAAGAGCUUUGAUCUGGUAAUCAAAAGGUUGCAGGUUCA